rnacentral:rRNA from 1 species
AGUGAACGCUGGCGGUAGGCCUAACACAUGCAAGUCGAACGGCAGCACAGUAAGAGCUUGCUCUUACGGGUGGCGAGUGGCGGACGGGUGAGGAAUACAUCAGAAUCUACUUUUUCGUGGGGGAUAACGUAGUGAAACUUACGCUAAUACCGCAUACGACCUACGGGUGAAAGCAGGGGAUCUUCGGACCUUGCGCGAUUGAAUGAGCCGAUGUCGGAUUAGCUAGUUGGCGGGGUAAAGGCCCACCAAGGCGACGAUCCGUAGCUGGUCUGAGAGGAUGAUCAGCCACACUGGAACUGAGACACGGUCCAGACUCCUACGGGAGGCAGCAGUGGGGAAUAUUGGACAAUGGGCGCAAGCCUGAUCCAGCCAUACCGCGUGGGUGAAGAAGGCCUUCGGGUUGUAAAGCCCUUUUGUUGGGAAAGAAAAGCAGCAGGUUAAUACCCCGCUGUUCUGACGGUACCCAAAGAAUAAGCACCGGCUAACUUCGUG